UUUACUUCUUAGUUCAUAUUGAGUCUCCUUUUAUGGAGUUUGGAUGGGAAAAAAAAAAAAACACGGAACAGCAGUUAGAAAACUCCAAAAUGAAAAACACGUGCAACAUUCAGAUCCACCAUCAGAGGUAAAGUAAAGAUCUCAAGUUUAAAAUGAUGGUGAAGGGAGAAGAGACCGAGUUUCCUUGAGAUUGAAAGAGAAAGAGAGAAGAAAAUAAAAGGUCCAAGAAAGUAACGGCGUGGAAAGGAAGAGGACAUUUGCUCAGAUUCAGAAGUAUCGCGUGCAAGAGCUUUUACGGUAGGUUGAAAGUGGUUUGGAUUUGAAAAUUUGAUUAAUCUAUUGUGAAUUGAAUAUUAGAGACUAAAGCAGCAUGGAAGAAAAGGUUUAAUUUUAAUUUUUUUAUUUUAUAGAUGCCCUGAGAAAUGACCAUCUCAAGUAAGAGGUCGAGAAAGAAUGUCAACCUUGGAAGGAGGGAAAAAUUGGGGGUCUGAGUAUUUGGUGUGAUACGCAUGUGUAUUAAGACAGAAAUUUGCUUAGAAUAAACGCAUGCGUUUUGAAAAAAGGUUGUACCACAAAGUAGACAACGUAUUAAGAGAUUUAAUCAAUUACUUUGAAGAGUGGGUUAGGUGGGGGAGGUUCGAUGGAUGAAAUUAUAUCUAAAGUUAUUGUAAUAUUACUGUUUUAUAACACAGUAGGAGGAAGAUUGUAAUAUUAUGUCUAAAGUUAUAGACAUGUAUUGUAAUACUGUACUCUAAAAUUAAAAACUAAAAUUGAGGGUCGAUCCGUCCACCGUCCGCAGAGAUGCAGUGUACCUGCCAAAUAAAGACAAAUCAACAAUUA